GUGAGCUAAAUAGCUAAGAUUUGGAUGUUUUAGAGUAGUUAAGGACAUGUGAAUAACACGAGCACAAGUGGUGGGGUGUCGAAUGUGACUUUUGAAACUAGGAAACUUAGUCCUAGUAUUGGAGCUUAUCAUGGAUUUUUGUUUAUUUAGAUAUUCACUUUGACUCUUUGUAUUUUUGGUAAACCAUUAUGCUUGGUUUUGGUGCUUGUGAUG